UUCAUCAUUAUACAGUCAGGAUUGAUUAAAUUACUAGCCAUUGAUGACUGCUUCAACCUCUAGCCCCUUUCUCCAACCUGGAGGUUAUGGAGGUUUUAAUAAUAGUAGUUAGGCUGGGUGUUUCUUUCUGCAGUUAAUCAAAACUACUUCCCAACGAGACUGAACUUCGCUUUUUCCACAUUUAAACUGCAGCUGUUUUUCAUAUGGUGGUGUUCCAGAAAGGAUCUGCGAUCUCCCAGCCCCAUGAGAAGUUGCCAAUGAAUUAUCCAGAAGGAAAUCCACCAGGCCCUGGGACUUUCCUGAAGUUCAUUAGAACUGACCAGAGUCCUCUGC